rnacentral:snRNA from 1 species
CUGUGCCCACCUGCUCUUUUAGAAUUUGUUGGUAGGUUUUCCAUUUUUCCAGAAGCCCCC